GGGGUGGGGAUGGGUAGGGGAAGAAGGUGAGGAGGUGCUUUGACCAGGAAAAGAGCUGAGAAUGUGUGGAAACAGGCCUCCGAAGGAAUGGAAGGGAAAAAUACUUGGGACCACAAUUGCAGACAGAAUACGAUGGAGUUGCUCUUUCUUGCCCAUGAGUUUAAUGACAAGGUUCCUCCCCUUUGGAUGCCAGCUAAGCAGGAGCCGGCAGGGCAUCCCCUGACUCUGCAGCCCAGCCAGGCCUGGAAUCUGCCCCAGACACAAUCACAGGUAUUCCCAAGGCUUGAAGUCCAUCCAGAGACUCGUCAUUUGAUGCAAUUGCCUGUGGUCUGAAAAACAAACUCCCACCCAAACAUAUCGUACCUGGGGAGACUGCAAUCUCAAUGAUCAUGUCUCCCAGGACUCAGGCCCGCUCUGACCACAGGAUCUUUCUAAAGGCAUGACCGACAGAAGUGUGCACAAUUCCACCAUGUAAUUUUUGUCUGGGAGGUAAAAUACCUCUGUCGUUACAUCAUUUUCCUUAGCGUAGCGAUCCCUUAAGAGAAGAAAGCCUGACCAAGAUCCCUUCUCAAAGUCAACCAUGGAAAUAACCUUUUAAUAUUCUCUCCUGUCUUCCGUGACCUUGUACGGCUUUCACACACAAUUUCUCAUUUUAUCCUCAAAACAACGCAUCGAGACCCGCAUCGUGCACACCCGUUCAGCUCAGCCAGCGUUUACCUGCCCACUACUGCACAGCCCAGGGCUUCAUGGCCUACCAGGCACAAGCACAUGGGCCCCUCUGGAGGAAGGUGAUGAAUCAGCAAGAGCCUGAGGAAAGAGGUGAUGAAUCUCAAAUCACCUACCCGCGUGGUUGGCUGAGGGCAAGUUGGGGCAACGGACAGACAAGCAGCCAACCAUAACCAGAGACAGAGGAGGUAGGUCCUGUAUCAGUGAUAAUGUCAGAGUUGGCCUUGAAGAACUUGUGGAAUUUUGAGAUGUAAGGAAGGGAUGGUGCAGGGGUGGGCCAGCCCGGGAAGAGGAGACAUCUUGGAAGACGAUUAGGAUGUAGAUGAAAAAACUCAUGGUCCUUUCCAGUUCCACCGCCAUAGCCCCCAUCACUGAUCCUUGUCCCCUGGAACAUCUCACCUGUGCAGCCCUCUUUGACAUCUCUACCACCCCCUCCAUUCUGGGGGAUCUCAGCAGGAGACAAUGUGUGUGAAAGCACAGUUUUUUCCACUAUGGUUGCUAUUCAUAAAACUGCCCGGAGAUAGACAGGCGUGGGAAGCAAAGGCCAGAGGGAUUAAAGAAUUUGCCAGGGCUUCCCUGGUGGCGCAGUGGUUGGGGGUCCGCCUGCCAAUGCAGGGGACGCGGGUUCGUGCCCCGGUCUGGGAGGAUCCCACAUGCCGCGGAGUGGCUGGGCCCGUGAGCCAUGGCCGCUGAGCCUGCGCGUCCGGAGCCUGUGCUCCGCGACGGGAGAGGCCACGGCAGUGAGAGGCCCGCGUACCGCCAAAAAAAAAAAAAAAAAAAAAAAUUUGCCCAGCUGGUGAGGAAGGGAGUCAGGAAGCUAACCCGGGUCCCCCCCAUCCCCACCAGCUGUCAAAUAAGGUAGAUGGUGUCUGGCUUGGGUUUAUAGACCCCUAAGUGAGAUCACCCUGGUUUCAAUCCCAGUUCUGACAUCACUGUGUGACCGUGAGCAAAGUACUUAACCUCUCUGUGCCUCCAUUUCCAUAGGUACAAAAUGGGGUAAUAAUCCUUACACCAGAGCCAUCGGGCAGAUUAAAAAGGAUCCCGCCUGUAAAACGUUUAGUAUAGUGCCUGGAACACAGGAAAUAUUUAAGCAUUCAUUCGCCGCUGUUAUCUCCUAUCACCGAUAUUUAUUGUUCCCACCGACUGUCUCUCAUUCGGUACCUGAAUUUUAGAGUCUGGUAGUUGGCUGGAGACCACGUCUCAACCUUUUCCUUAAUCCCACUAUCCUCAGAAAAGCUGCUCUCACUGCAUUUGCAGACUUCACACGAAUUCUCUCAGCCUGCUUGUGCCAUCCCUCAGUGUGGUGCUUUGGAAUCCUUCUGUUAGCACAGCUGUGUCUGGGGUCUGGGAAAGCUCUGAGGACCCCGGGGGUGGGAGAUGCACAUGAGAGAGGGUCUGUCGAGCAAGUGGAGGUGAGGGGUAUGUAAGCAGCCUCCCAUCCUGUUCCCACAUCCCAGAAAAGCACUCCGUCUGGCAGGCCGGCACCCCUUCUCUUCCUGUGUGCUACCCUGGGCUGGCCCAGACAAAGAGCUUGUCUGCACCUUGGCUUAGAUGGGCUUUCUUGCAAGCUCACCCACAGGGGAACAUGAGAGCUGCAUGCUCACUGAAUCCUAGACCCUCCUGGCCUCACUCCUGGGGCCAGGUCCCCUCCAUCCCUGACAGGUUCAUCCAGGGACUGGGUCGUAACCAGGAGGAAGUUCGGGGCCUCCUGGGACUUCCACCCACAGAUUCCCAGCUCUCCUCCUGCAGAAACCCAGCCCCGUCUUCCUUCCAUGAGCACCAAAGGUGGGUCCCACACUUCUGGAAUCUUGAGUGAAGCUCAUGUGCCCCAUCCUCUUAUUGUUCAGAUGAGAAGGCAAAGGGCCGAGGCUGGAACUCAGAACCAGCCCUUUCCCCCUGCAUCAGUGGCUCCCAACUUCCUUCCACGUUAGAAUCACCUGGGACCUUUCAGAAGCUCCAAAGUCACAGCCACAUGCCAGACCAGGGAAAUCACGCUCUCUGGAGUUGGGCAGCAUUACAGUUGUGUUUGCUGUAAUUAUCUACAAGCGGGGAAAGAGGCGCUCGGGGCAUAGGCAGUUGCCCUAGAUCACCAGGCUGCUAAGCGAUGUGACUCCAAAGGCUGCAGUCUUGGCACACACCACGCUGCAUCCCCAGUUUCUCCCGGCCCUGAGUAGGACGCAGGAAGUCCGGGAGCCACGCUCAGGGAACAACCUUCAAGUUCAACACGGCACGCCAGCUCUCUGCCCGGCAGAGGAAGGCCCAGCAA